AAUAUAUAUACUAAACAUAGUUGUUUUAUUAUUAAUAUUAAAAUAAGUUGAACUAUAUAUUAUAUAUGUAAGACUAUAGAAAAUUAGACAGAUUUAAUGUCUAAUAUACAUUAAAGAUAUGGACAGUAUUAUUUUGUCAUUUUUAUGACAACAAGUAUAUAAAGAGAUUGUUACAGAAUCAUAGCUAUAUAUCAAAGAGAGCCAUAUAAAAAUCUAAAUAAAAAAAAUGGCUAAAGCGUUUAAAUGUGUAGGUACUACACGUAGAACUCUAAUAAGAAAUUAAAUAUGUAAACGGAGUGAAUUGAAAUAUCUUAGUAACUUCAGGAAAAGAAAUCAAAAGAGAUUUUUUAAGUAAUGUGAAUGAAAUAAGAAACGUCUCAAAAAGUAAAAUGGAUGGAAAUCUGUUUGAAGAAAAGGGGAACCUUCCUCUAAGACUAAAUAUGAUGUAUAUGCGAUAGUGAAAAGUACCGUGAGGGAAAUGAUUAAAAUAGCAAUUUUAUAAGCAGCUCAAGAAAAAUUUAAGUAAAUAAUAAGAGCGUACCUUUUGCAUAAUGGGUCAGCAAGUUAAUGUUUGAUGCGAGCAGUAAUGCGUAGAUAAAACAAUUAUGAUAUAAUGAUGUAGUAUCAAAAAUUAGACCCGAAACCUAGUGAUCUUACCAUAAUCAGGGUUAUAAAAGUCCGAACGGGUUAUCGUUGUAAAGAUAUCCGAAGAAUUGUGGUAAGUUAGUGAAAGACAACACUGACUAGGCGUUAGCUGGUUUUCUGCGAAACCUAUUGAAGUAGGUAAUUUAAAUAGAAUAUCAGGAGGUACAGAAUUGUGAUCUCAUACAACUAGCAUUUUAUUUUCAUCUUUUUUGUUUUGUCUUUUUACUUAAAAAAUAAAAAGUAUUAACUAUUAGAAGAUUAUGGUGAAAUGCUCUUUGUGGACAUUGGGGGGUCGUGAAGACUCUAUCAGUGAGUAUUUGUUCUCGGAAGGACUAGAUAUGUAUAUUAAAUAAUCGGACAUAGUGCGAAAAGGUUGUAUGUCUAAAGGGAAACAGCCCAGAACAAGAGUUAAUAAGGUUCCUAAAUUUUUGUUAAGUGAAAUUAAGGCAGUAUUUAGCCUAGUCGACCAGGGAAUAGGCUUAGAAGCGGCCAUUUUUUGAAGAUCUCGUAACAGAGCACUGGUUUGUCAUAUGGAUAAAAGCACCUAAAAUUUAACGGAUCUAAACAAUAUACCGAAACCUUGUCCAUACAUAUAUAAAUGACACUAUCACUGAAACAAUUUACAAAAUAAAAGAUAAAAAAAACAAUUUACAAAACAAAAGAUAAAAGAAACAAUUUACAAAAUAAAAGAUAAAACAUAUAUUAUGUAUGGGGUAGCAGAACAUUGGGCAGGUUUUAGAUUAUUUCUUUAUAAGGACUAAAAUUAAACAGCUCAAGUGAGAAUGCUGACAUGAGUAACGAUAAAGGGUAUUACCCUCGCCUAAAGCUUAUGGAAUUUAGAUAAAGUUACGGCCUCUAAGUUUAUUAUGCCUUUAACUGUAAAAUAUAAAGCAAAUGAUAUAAACAUAGAUACCAUCUAUGUUUAAAAAUAUAAGUAAAGGACCCAAAAGGGAUGAACGAUGAGCAAAUCUAUCUUUUUACUGAAAAUAACUUUUACUAAAAAAGUGAAAAAUGUUCUGGAAAUCUGUAAAAAGCAUUUUCUUGUGUAAAUAAACUAAAAUAGAUGAUACGCAAAAAAAUGAAAUAUACCGUACCUAAAUACUAACACAAGUAAGCAAGUAGAGUAUACGAAGGCGUUCGAGUGAACAAUCAUUAAGGAACUCGGCAAAUUGACUCUCGUAACUUCGGGAUAAGGUGGGCCAUUCUUCUGGAUUAAUAUUAACGGAGGAAUAGGAGGCAUAGAAUGGUGUUGUACGACUGUUUAAUUAAAACAAAGCACGCUGCAAAGAAAUAAAUUCGAAGUAUUGAGUGUGAUCUCUGCCCGAUGGUAGAUGGUUAUCGGAUUUGCUUAGUUGACUAAUACAGGCUAGGUUUUGAAGGAACCCCUGCUCAAUGGCGGCCUUACAGAUGAGGGCCCUAAGGUAGCGGAAUACCCUGGCCGUUGAAUGCGGUCUUGCAUGAAUGAUGUAACGAUACAACAGCUGUCUCAAUGAUUGGCUCGGUGAAAUUGGAAUAACUGUGCAGAUACAGUUUACCUCUAGUUAGACGAGAAGACCCUUUGCAGCUUUACUGUUGCUAGUUACUGAGUAUGAUACAAUAAGUUAUAGCGUAUAAGGUAAUUGAUAAGAUAUAAUUGAAACACCUUUACUUAAUUUGUCAUAUUAUAUAUACCAUGUUAAAAUGUUAGCAUUGGUUAUAAAAAUUGAUAAAACAAUUGCUAGGUGGCAGUUUAUGCGGGGCACAGAUCCCAUAAAAAGUACCUGGGAGUAUCCAAAUUCAUUUCUGUAAAAUUGCAUCUUGCAAUUAUACAUGUUUAAAUUUAUUUCUAGACAUGUUUAUUAUUUUUAGUUAGAAAUUGGUAUUAAUGUAAUACUAAUCCAGUUAUUUAUUCAUUUAAGUUGGAGUUUUUAAUUUUUAAGUAGGAUUUUAACUACAUUAAAAUGUAGAUGUAAUUAAAGCGUUAUUUAUACACGUAUACAGAAUAAUAGAAUUAUUUACAUGUAAAUAACAAUUUUUUUUGUUUACUAUAAUAUCUAAUAUAGUGAUAAAGCUUUAAAGCCUAAUCACAAAAAAUGAAGACAUAACAUAUAGAUAUUUAGUUAAAUGAUAAUUAUAAUACUUAUCAAGUUUAACGGCUUAAUCCUGCUUUACUGUUUGACUUACACGUCUAUCAGUCGCGUAAGCGGGGCAUAUGAUCACAAGAUGCAGAAAGGAAAGGUCUUGGAUUAAUGAAAAAGUUACGCUAGGGAUAACAGGCUAAUUGCGCCAGAGAGUACAAAUUGAGUGCGCAGUUUGGCACCUCGAUGUCGGCUUAGCUCAUCCACAUGAAUGCAGGAGUCAUGAAGGGU
rnacentral:rRNA from 1 species